ensembl:lncRNA
AGAAAUGGAUCCAUCAUCAGUGACGUUGAUAUUGACUUUGCAUCUAUAUCAGUGCCUAAUAACACUGAGAUUGCAAAUGUUUUGAUCAAUGCAGCUCCAAACAUAACGACCUUCAACAUUAGCAAAGAGUCUGUUAUUGUCAGUGACCCAGUGGUUUUACCUACAACUGUGAGCACUACAACACCAAUGAUGACUACCCCUACAAACGCAACCAUAGCAAAUCUAACAAACACCACACCAGGAACAAAUACAAGUACAGUGUCUACAACAGCUUCAACUACACCUGUGAAUGCUAUAACACCAAUGAUGACUACCCUUACAAACGCAACCACAGCAAAUCUUACAAACACCACACCAGGAACAAAUACAACUACAGUGUCUACAACAGCUUCAACUACACCUGUGAAUGCUACAACACCAAUGAUGACUACCCCUACAAACGCAACCACAGCAAAUCUUACAAACACCACACCAGGAACAAAUACAACUACAGUGUCUACAACAGCUUCAACUACACCUGUGAAUGCUACAACACCAAUCAUCACUACCCCAACAAACGCAUCCACAGUUACUCCUACAACCACUACAACUGUAAGAACUACAACUAUUGAGGCUGUUACAACAAAGCAGUUGCAGUUCAGAGAUGUUGGAGCAACAUUUACACCUGACUUAGAGAACUCAUCAUCUUCAGCAUUUACAGAAAGAGCCAGACAGACAGUGUUAACACUCGAACCUUUCUACAAGACAUUUCCUUCAUUCCGCUCAAUGAGAGUGAUCAGAUUCAGAAAUGGAUCCAUCAUCAGUGACGUUAAUAUUGACUUUGCAUCUAUAUCAGUGCCUAAUAACACUGAGAUUGAAAAUGUUUUGAUCAAUGCAGUUUCAAACAUAACGACCUUCAACAUUAGCAAAGAGUCUGUUAUUGUCAGUGACCCAGCGACUCCUACAACCACUUUGACUGCAACAACUACAACUACAGCGACUCCUACAACCACUACAACUGCAGCAACUACAACUGCAGCAACUGCAACUACAGCAACUCCCACAACCACUAAAGCUGUAACAACUACAACUGCUGAGCCAGUACAAAAAAAGGCAGUGCAAUUCAGAUCUGUUAAUGGGAUAUUUAUAACUGACUUGCUGACAUCAUCAUCCACAGCUUUUAAAGAACGAGCUUCACUGAUAGAGACAGCACUUAAACCUUUCUACCUGGCCAGAUUUCCUUCAUUCCGCUCCAUCAAUGUGACUGCAUUCAGUAAGGGAUCCAUUAUCAAUAACAUGGACAUUGGAUUUGCAAUGUCACUGGUCCCUAAUGCAAAAGAGAUUGCACAAGUUUUGAUUGAUGCAGCCAAGAUAACACCCUUCGACAUUGAUAUCAGUUCUAUUCUUGUGGACGGCAUAUUGUCACAUGGAGUGAGCCACAAGAUCAGUCUCCUCACUGCUUCCUGUAUGGUGCUGCUGUCAUGGCUCCUGUCAGGCCAGCAAUAACAUCUGCGCUGAUGCUCUUGUGAAAUAACUUGAGGAAAUGUCUCCUGUGACUGGGUAUGAAAAAGGACUUUGUUCCAACUGAAAAUCCACGAGGAGCUUCUGAUGAAGAGCAAUCAUACCAUGAUUUAGAAGUAGCUAAAACUGAAAUUAACCUUUAUGUUAUCUAUCAAUAUAAACUUUAACAUAAUUUCCAACAAAGGUGUCAUUGGUUGUCAAUUUAUAAUGUAAGUCCUGUGAUAAAGUCAUACUGUAAGUUAUUAAUAUCAAUGAGAUCAAGUUUUAAUCCAUGAAGCAUCUCCUCAGCUUCUGACUCUGAGAGUGAAAAAAAAUGAAAGUGAUAAUCAGGAAAUCAUCACCUCACCUGGCAUUCAUGAAAUAUAAGAUGUGUGAAAAUGUCCUCUUUGGUCACCUUUACCAGUCAAUAUUUAAAUAUAUUUCUUGUAUAUAUUGUAUUCUAUUAUUGUAUGUAUUCUGUUUGUAUUGUAUUGGAUAAUUAUGGUAAAAAUUCUAAGUGAUCCUGAUACACACAUUUAAAAUUAUUUAAAGAACUGUCCCUAUAAAAAAAUAUAAUAUUAAUAUCACCUUUUUCUUUCUGAAGCAGGUUCUUCACAAGUCUAUCAUGAUAAACUAAAGAAGCGUCAAUUAAAGACAUUGAACAAACCCUGCCUAUCUUGAUUUUUAAAUAUACUACUCUAAUCAACUACUCUAAUUUUUCUUUUCAAAAAAUUGAUUAGGAAAUACUAUCAUAGCACUCUUAAGACCCCUUCAUAGAUUUUUGAUACAAGUAAAACUAAAUCUAAUUCUAAUAAUU